UGGGGAAUAUUGGACAAUGGGGGGCAACCCUGAUCCAGCAAUGCCGCGUGUGUGAAGAAGGUCUUCGGAUUGUAAAGCACUUUCGACGGGGACGAUGAUGACGGUACCCGUAGAAGAAGCCCCGGCUAACUUCGUGCCAGCAGCCGCGGUAAUACGAAGGGGGCUAGCGUUGCUCGGAAUGACUGGGCGUAAAGGGCGUGUAGGCGGUUUACACAGUCAGAUGUGAAAUCCCCGGGCUUAACCUGGGAGCUGCAUUUGAUACGUGUAGACUAGAGUGUGAGAGAGGGUUGUGGAAUUCCCAGUGUAGAGGUGAAAUUCGUAGAUAUUGGGAAGAACACCGGUGGCGAAGGCGGCAACCUGGCUCAUGACUGACGCUGAGGCGCGAAAGCGUGGGGAGCAAACAGGAUUAGAUACCCUGGUAGUCCAC
rnacentral:rRNA from 1 species